UACGAAGGGGGCUAGCGUUGCUCGGAAUGACUGGGAGUAAAGGGCGUGUAGGCGGACGGCACAGUCAGGCGUGAAAUUCCUGGGCUCAACCUGGGGACUGCGUCUGAGACGUGUUGUCUUGAGUAUGGAAGAGGGUUGUGGAAUUUCCAGUGUAGAGGUGAAAUUCGUAGAUAUUGGAAAGAACACCGGUGGCGAAGGCGGCAACCUGGUCCAUUACUGACGUUGAGGCGCGAAAGCGUGGGGAGCAAACAGG
rnacentral:rRNA from 1 species